rnacentral:rRNA from 1 species
CAAUAGCGUAUAUUAAAGUUGUUGCAGUUAAAAAGCUCGUAGUUAGAUCUCUGGUGAGAUGGAUUAUGUCUAGGUCGAAAGAUCUUGUUCAUGGUUCGUUUUGCCCUUCUUGUCAGGAACCCGCUGAGAUUCGCGUCUUGUCGGUGGAAUGGCAUCGUUUACUGUGAAAAAAUUAGAGUGUUCAAAGCAGGCAUCGCCGUUGAAUACAUUAGCAUGGAAUAAUAAGAUAAGACUUUGGUGGUCUAUUUUGUUGGUUUGCACGCCAAAGUAAUGAUUAAUAGGGAUAGUUGGGGGUAUUCGUAUUCUAUUGCUAGAGGUGAAAUUCUUAAAUUUAUGGAAGACGAACUACUGCGAAAGCAUUUACCAAGGAUGUUUUCAUUAA